rnacentral:rRNA from 1 species
AGUGAACGCUGGCGGUAGGCCUAACACAUGCAAGUCGAACGGCAGCACAGUAAGAGCUUGCUCUUACGGGUGGCGAGUGGCGGACGGGUGAGGAAUACAUCGGAAUCUACUUUUUCGUGGGGGAUAACGUAGGGACACUUACGCUAAUACCGCAUACGACCUACGGGUGAAAGCAGGGGAUCUUCGGAUCUUGCGCGAUUGAAUGAGCCAAUGUCGGAUUAGCUAGUUGGCGGGGUAAAGGCCCACCAAGGCGACGAUCCGUAGCUGGUCUGAGAGGAUGAUCAGCCACACUGGAACUGAGACACGGUCCAGACUCCUACGGGAGGCAGCAGUGGGGAAUAUUGGACAAUGGGCGCAAGCCUGAUCCAGCCAUACCGCGUGGGUGAAGAAGGCCUUCGGGUUGUAAAGCCCUUUUGUUGGGAAAGAAAAGCAGCAGGUUAAUACCCCGCUGUUCUGACGGUACCCAAAGAAUAAGCACCGGCUAACUUCGUG